AUGCUCGCUUUGGCAGCACAUAUACUAAAAUUUGGAACAAAUAGAGAAAAUUAACAUGGCCCUCCUGCAAGGAUGACACGCAAAUUUGUGAAGUCUUCCAUAUUCCU